rnacentral:rRNA from 1 species
GGGUGCAUCUGAAACUGUUUCUCUUGAGUGUCGGAGAGGAAAGUGGAAUUCCCAGUGUAGCGGUGAAAUGCGUAGAGAUUGGGAGGAACACCAGUGGCGAAGGCGGCUUUCUGGACGAUAACUGACGCUGAGGCGCGAAAGCGUGGGUAGCAAACAGGAUUAGAUACCCUGGUAGUCCACGCCGUAAACGAUGGAUACUAGGUGUAGGAGGUAUCGACCCCUUCUGUGCCGCAGUUAACACAAUAAGUAUCCCACCUGGGGAGUACGGCCGCAAGGUUGAAACUCAAAGGAAUUGACGGGGGCCCGCACAAGCAGUGGAGUAUGUGGUUUAAUUCGAAGCAACGCGAAGAACCUUACCAGGGCUUGACAUACCCUUGACCGGCAUAGAGAUAUGCCUUCUCUUCGGAGCAGGGGAUACAGGUGGUGCAUGGUUGUCGUCAGCUCGUGUCGUGAGAUGUUGGGUUAAGUCCCGCAACGAGCGCAACCCUUGUUGUUAGUUGCCAGCAUUCAGUUGGGCACUCUAACGAGACUGCCGGUGAUAAAUCGGAGGAAGGUGGGGACGACGUCAAAUCAUCAUGCCCCUUAUGUCCUGGGCUACACACGUACUACAAUGGCGAUAACAGAGGGAAGCAAGACAGUGAUGUGGAGCAAAUCCCCAAAAGUCGCCCCAGUUCAGAUUGCAGGGCUGCAACUCGC